rnacentral:rRNA from 1 species
UACGUAGGUGGCAAGCGUUAUCCGGAUUUACUGGGUGUAAAGGGGGCGCAGACGGCGAUGCAAGCCAGGAGUGAAAGCCCGGGGCCCAACCCCGGGACUGCUCUUGGAACUGCGUGGCUGGAGUGCAGGAGGGGCAAUCGGAAUUCCGUGUGUAGCGGUGAAAUGCGUAGAUAUACGGAGGAACACCAGUGGCGAAGGCGGAUUGCUGGACAGUAACUGACGCUGAGGCGCGAAAGCGUGGGGAGCAAACAGG